UUGAACGCUGGCGGCAUGCCUUACACAUGCCAGUCGCACGGCAGCAUGAUCUAGCUUGCUAGAUUGAUGGCGAGUGGCGAACGGGUGAGUAAUACAUCGGAACGUGCCCUGUAGUGGGGAUAACUAGUCGAAAGAUUAGCUAAUACCGCAUACGACCUGAGGGUGAAAGUGGGGGACCGCAAGGCCUCAUGCUAUAGGAGCGGCCGAUGUCUGAUUAGCUAGUUGGUGAGGUAAAGGCUCACCAAGGCGACGAUCAGUAGCUGGUCUGAGAGGACGAUCGGCCACACUGGGACUGAGACACGGCCCAGACUCCUACGGGAGGCAGCAGUGGGGAAUUUUGGACAAUGGGCGAAAGCCUGAUCCAGCAAUGCCGCGUGUGUGAAGAAGGCCUUCGGGUUGUAAAGCACUUUUGUCCGGAAAGAAAUGGCUCUGGUUAAUACCUGGGGUCGAUGACGGUACCGGAAGAAUAAGGACCGGCUAACUACGUGC
rnacentral:rRNA from 1 species